rnacentral:rRNA from 2 species
UAGGGAAUCUUCCGCAAUGGACGAAAGUCUGACGGAGCAACGCCGCGUGAGUGAUGAAGGCUUUCGGGUCGUAAAACUCUGUUGUUAGGGAAGAACAAGUACGAGAGUAACUGCUCGUACCUUGACGGUACCUAACCAGAAAGCCACGGCUAACUACGUGCCAGCAGCCGCGGUAAUACGUAGGUGGCAAGCGUUAUCCGGAAUUAUUGGGCGUAAAGCGCGCGCAGGCGGUUUCUUAAGUCUGAUGUGAAAG